GUUGAUUCUGAGCUCUCCUCUUCCUGGCGUUCCCCUUUCUGCGCCUCACUGCGUUCAGUCUGAUUUUAGAGUGGGGCUGGUGGCAUCGAUAUUGCGGCAAGUGUGUGGUGGAGUUUACUUACAGUAAUGGUGACACAAGCGGAUGUGUGAAUGCUAUCUGGUACGUUGAGUCACACUUGUUGGAGUAAUUAUAUAGCCUUGCACUGGUCUUCGUUCAACCCUAACCGUAAAAGGGGGAAUGGAACAUCACCGUCUCUAAGUUGAUCUCUCGUGGAAGAUACUACAUGUGACGCCGCUGCUGUUUUGCUUAGAGCACAGACCUGUUGAGCCAGUGAGGACUCGGUGUGCAGCAGGGGAGGCUAGCCGCUUUCCUUCCAUGGUGUGUCUCACGGGGUGUUGUGUGUGUGUGUGUGUUGGUACAAUUUGCUUUACUGUGUGUGUGUGAGGUGCUUGCUGUGGUGUGAAUUUAGGUGGGUUUGGAUGACCUCCCGAGUUGCAGCCGGCCUGCCCUGUUCCCACUAAGCCUGGCCCUGGAGUUAUUUUAAUAAUCUGGUGGUGUGUUUAUGGAGAGA